CCUACGGGAGGCAGCAGUGAGGAAUAUUGGGCAAUGGACGAGAGUCUGAACCAGCCAAGUAGCGUGAAGGAUGACUGCCCGAUGGGUUGUAAACUUCGUUUAUAGGGGAAUAAAAUGUUCCACGUGUGGGAUGUUGUAUGUACCAUAGGAAUAAGGAGCGGCUAACUCCGUGCCAGCAGCCGCGGUAAUACGGAGGAUCCGAGCGUUAUCCGGAUUUAUUGGGGUUAAAGGGAGCGUAGGUGGCUUGUUAAGUCAGGUGUGACAGUUUGCGGCUCCACCGUAAAAUUGCCGUUGAAACUGGCAGUCUUGCGUACAGUAGCGGUGGGCGGACUUCGUGUUGUAGCGG
rnacentral:rRNA from 1 species